CGGGCCCCGAAUGAAGGCCAGCGUCUGCCGGAGCUGCUGGAUUCAAGCAGGAGCCCAAAGAACUGUCUUUCUGCGGCCUGCUGGCCACCUCAGAACUUAGGAAAUGUCAUGGGCAGUUCAUCAGAAAGAAACAUCU